AUGGAAGCCACUGAGGAUGAGAGGCUAGCAGGGAGCGGUGAGGGAGAGCGGCUGGAUUUCUUGCGGGAUCUGCACGUGCGAUUUUUCCAGCGCUGCCUUGAGGAUUUGCCGGAGCGCUAUUCUUCACUCGAGACAAGCAGGUCCUUCCCACAGAAGGCAGAUGAAAUCUAAAUCGCUGUGGUUUCCGAGGCUCUUCAUACCUGGGUAUUCCUUUCAAUCCAUCAAAGGCUCCUGGAACAGCUCAUCCUUAUGAUAGUGGCCACAUUGCAAUGACCUACACUGGCCUUUCAUGCUUAGUUAUUCUUGGAGACGACUUAAGCCGAGUAAAUAAAGAAGCUUGCUUAGCAGGCUUGAGAGCCCUUCAGCUGGAAGAUGGGAGUUUUUGUGCAGUACCUGAAGGCAGUGAAAAUGAUAUGCGAUUUUUGUACUGUGCUUCCUGUAUUUGCUAUAUGCUCAAUAACCAGUCAGGCAUGGAUAUGAAAAAAGCCAUCUCCUAUAUUAAAAGAAGUAUGUCCUAUGACAAUGGACUGGCACAGGGAGCUGGACUUGAAUCUCAUGGAGGAUCUACUUUUUGUGGCAUUGCCUCACUAUGUCUGAUGGGUAAACUAGAAGUUUUUUCAGAAAAAGAAUUGAACACGAUAAAGAGGUGGUGUAUAAUGGGGCAACAAAAUAGUUAUCAUGGAAGACCUAAUAAGCCUGUAGACACCCGUUAUUCUUUUUGGGUGGGAGCAACUCUAAAGCUUCUAAAAAUUUUCCAAUACACUAACUUUGAGAAAAAUAGAAAUUCCAUCUUAUCAACUCAAGAUCGCCUCGUAGGGGGAUUUGCCAAGUGGCCAGUCAUCCAGGUGCUUUGCAUGCAUACUUUGGGAUCUGUGGCCUGUCACUAACAGAGGAAAGUAGAAUUUGUAAAGUUCAUCCUACUCUGAAUGUAAGCACACGGACUUCUGAAUGCCUUCUAGAUCUCCAUCAAAGUUGGAAAACCAAGGACUCUCAAACAAUGCUCAGAGAAUGUACAUAUCUCCA
rnacentral:lncRNA from 1 species